rnacentral:rRNA from 1 species
UACGUAGGGUGCGAGCGUUGUCCGGAAUUAUUGGGCGUAAAGAGCUCGUAGGCGGCUUGUCACGUCGGAUGUGAAAGCCCCGGGGCUUAACCCCGGGUCUGCAUUCGAUACGGGCAGGCUAGAGUUCGGUAGGGGAGAUCGGAAUUCCUGGUGUAGCGGUGAAAUGCGCAGGUAUCAGGAGGAACACCGGUGGCGAAGGCGGAUCUCUGGGCCGAUACUGACGCUGAGGAGCGAAAGCGUGGGGAGCGAACAGG